GUAGGUGGCAAGCGUUGUCCGGAAUUAUUGGGCGUAAAGCGCGCGCAGGCGGUUUUUUAAGUCUGAUGUGAAAGCCCACGGGCUCAACCGUGGAGGGUCAUUGGAAACUGGAGAACUUGAGUACAGAAGAGGAAAGCGGAAUUCCACGUGUAGCGGUGAAAUGCGUAGAGAUGUGGAGGAACACCAGUGGCGAAGGUUGCUUUCUGGUCUGUAACUGACGCUGAGGCGCGAAAGCGUGGGGAGCAAACAGGAUUAGAUACCCUGGUAGUCCACGCCGUAAACGAUGAGUGCUAAGUGUUAGGGGGUUUCCGCCCCUUAGUGCUGCAGCUAACGCAUUAAGCACUCCGCCUGGGGAGUACGGCCGCAAAGGCUG
rnacentral:rRNA from 1 species